GUACACAAAAAUGCACAUAUUGUGAGCUCGAUGAGUAGGGCGGGACACGUGGUAUCCUGUCUGAAUAUGGGGGGACCAUCCUCCAAGGCUAAAUACUCCUGACUGACCGAUAGUGAACCAGUACCGUGAGGGAAAGGCGAAAAGAACCCCGGCGAGGGGAGUGAAAAAGAACCUGAAACCGUGUACGUACAAGCAGUGGGAGCCUCUUUUAUGGGGUGACUGCGUACCUUUUGUAUAAUGGGUCAGCGACUUAUAUUCUGUAGCAAGGUUAACCGAAUAGGGGAGCCGAAGGGAAACCGAGUCUUAACUGGGCGUUAAGUUGCAGGGUAUAGACCCGAAACCCGGUGAUCUAGCCAUGGGCAGGUUGAAGGUUGGGUAACACUAACUGGAGGACCGAACCGACUAAUGUUGAAAAAUUAGCGGAUGACUUGUGGCUGGGGGUGAAAGGCCAAUCAAACCGGGAGAUAGCUGGUUCUCCCCGAAAGCUAUUUAGGUAGCGCCUCGUGAAUUCAUCUCCGGGGGUAGAGCACUGUUUCGGCAAGGGGGUCAUCCCGACUUACCAACCCGAUGCAAACUGCGAAUACCGGAGAAUGUUAUCACGGGAGACACACGGCGGGUGCUAACGUCCGUCGUGAAGAGGGAAACAACCCAGACCGCCAGCUAAGGUCCCAAAGUCAUGGUUAAGUGGGAAACGAUGUGGGAAGGCCCAGACAGCCAGGAUGUUGGCUUAGAAGCAGCCAUCAUUUAAAGAAAGCGUAAUAGCUCACUGGUCGAGUCGGCCUGCGCGGAAGAUGUAACGGGGCUAAACCAUGCACCGAAGCUGCGGCAGCGACACUAUGUGUUGUUGGGUAGGGGAGCGU
rnacentral:rRNA from 1 species